rnacentral:misc_RNA from 1 species
AAAGUCGUAACAAGGUUUCCGUAGGUGAACCUGCGGAAGGAUCAUUAACACAAUAAUAUCCAAAACCUUUUGGAUCAACCCAACCUCAGUGAACUGUUUUUAACCUUUACUUUAAUCUAAAAUUCUCUAAACUCAAUCUGAUUUGUAUAAUGUCUGAUCUUUUUCUUUCGAAUAACUUUGAAGGAAAUCAUUCUAACGUAAUACAACUCUUAACAACGGAUAUCUUGGCUCUC